rnacentral:lncRNA from 1 species
GUAACUACGGAGGAAGCACUCAGGCCAAAGAGAGGGCAACCUCAGGCUGCCUGUUGCGGCUGCCAUUCUGAGCACCGGACACCUUCAUGGCCCUUUUCACUGCUGGCUCUCUCCGAUCAGACCAUCCCACAGUAGCCUCAGAAACAGCCUCACAGACCUAGUGUGCGUGUUUCCAUGGUGAUGCUAGGCUGGCCGUGAAGAUUCACCACAGCAAGGAGGUGCUAUGGAUAUUCCAGAGUUGACUUAAGGCACAUGAGAGGAGUUCACAGGGUACACGCAAACACCAGCCUCUUUACACCAGAGUUGUCCGAAUCUUCGGGGUCCUGGAGUCAGGACCUAGGAUCGAUUCUGAGGGACAGCUAUCCAUGAAAAAAUUUUUUCCUCCCACUCCAUCACAACAACCAAAUCCCUGUCCCAAGCACAGGUGAUGUUAUUAACCAUCAAGUG